AACGAACGCUGGCGGCGUGGAUAAGACAUGCAAGUCGAACGGGACAAGUAGCAAUAUUUGUCUAGUGGCGAACGGGUGCGUAACACGUGGGCAACAUGCCUGGAAGAGCGGGAUAGCCCGGGGCAACUCGGAUUAAUACCGCAUGUGACAACUGGGCGGAUCCGCCCUGUUUUCAAAGGCGGGGACCGCAAGGCCUGCCGCUUCCAGAUUGCCCCGCGUCCUAUCAGCUAGUUGGCGGGGUAACGGCCCACCAAGGCGACGACGGGGUAGCUGGUCUGAGAGGACGACCAGCCACACUGGAACUGAGACACGGUCCAGACACCUACGGGUGGCAGCAGUCGAGAAUCUUUCACAAUGGGGGAAACCCUGAUGGAGCGACGCCGCGUGGAGGAUGACGGUCUUCGGAUUGUAAACUCCUGUCAUGAAAGAACAAGCGGAGCGGGUGAACAGCCCGCCGAGUUGAUAGUAUUUCAAGAGGAAGGGACGGCUAACUUCGUGCCAGCCGCCGCAGUAA
rnacentral:rRNA from 1 species